rnacentral:lncRNA from 10 species
AAUCAACGCCUAAACUACUUUCUGUCUCUGUAAACUUGCUUAUCCUGGACAUCUCAUAUAUACAGAAUCACAAAAUAUGCAGGCUUGUGUGACUGGCUUCUUUCACUUAGCAUAAUGUUUCAAGUUCAUCAUAUCGUAGCAUGCGGGCAGUGGUUGGAGGACCUGGAGGAGUGACUUGCCUGAGUGUGGAGGGUGAAGGUGUUCUAGAGUCUGACUGUUCCACAGUCUCCAGCCAGCCCUCAUUAAUCCAGCUGACCACUGUAUGUACUGCCUCAAAUUCCUGAGCAUUUCACAAGUUCUGCAAGGCAGAACACUCUCUUCCCAUUAGCCUCAAUCUCUACAGGCACCAUGGAUUGUAAAUUUCUUCCCCCUUCUAAACCAGUUGUAUCAUCUGAUUUUUCUCUCCCAAAAAUCUGUUGAAAUUCCUUUUUUUCCCCAUCAUCUUCUGCACAUUGCUUCCACCUCAUGAUCAAAACGACUGCUCAAAUUCUGGCUACUACAUCUGCAUUUCAUUCAGCAGGAAAGAGAGGGAAAUAAGAAGGACAUUCCAUCCUCUUAAAGACUCUUCCUGGAAGUUACUUGCAACAUUCUGCUACCUUCUCCUUGACCAAGUCCUACCCACAUGGCCACACUAAACGCAGUGGAGGCUGAGAAAUGUGGUCUUCAUUCAAGACAGCAUGUGUCUAACUAAAAGUUGUGAGUCUAUAGCCAAAGGAAAAGGGAAGACAGAGAUUGGUGGACGUUUCUGUCACACUCAAGACAAUACAAUGUUUCAAAAAAAAAAAAAUUAAACAAGCUCAUAAAAAGAAUGGCUGUUCAUUGAAAUUACCCACAUUAGGCCAUCUCAGGUGAGUAGCAACUAAUAGUGCCUAUUAAGUAUCUAAUAAAUAUUUGUCAGGUAUUUAUUUGUCUGAAUGGAUGAACCUGAAUCAACCAUCAGCCUGAGAGAGGGGUGGCUUUCUGUUUACUAUGACCCACGACAGGUGACAACAUCCAUUUUUUUCUUUUACUGAGUUUAUCAACAAACAGAAAACCUCAACCUGCUUCUGACAUCAUAUGCCAGCUUUGCAUCUUGCUACUAUAUUAUACCUGGUCUUAAACCUCCAGGCACACUAACCGGUGCCAAGUAGAAAGACUGGAGAGAACAAAGAGAAAAAUCAGGAAACAGCAAGAAGUCUUUGACUCACAUGUACCAACAAAGCCUCUCCCAACACAGAGAAAUGGUGAUAACGUAAUCACAGGCAUGCUAGCCAUUGUUCCAGUGGACUUGAAGCCAAAGCCGGGAUUAAAUAAAUGGCUGGCAUUUUUCAAAGAACCAGAGGCAGCACUGUUUAAAAGAGCUGACAGCUGUGAGAUAGAGUAUUCUUAUUACAGAGGCUUAGCGGGGAGACUUAAAGUAAACCUUUCCACCAGCAGAGCACUCUCAAAUGGGAGAAAAAGUAGAAAAGCUCCCUCUAUGAGAGCAGAAAAAUGCACGAGGAUAUAGGCAUGGUUCUGGGGCUGUCAUAAAGAUGUGAGAAGACCUUAGUAAAAUAUCUUCAAUGUUAUUAAAACCUUACUCUUUAGAGGUAAGAAGAAAUAUGGGGGGCAAAAAUAAAGAGGGAACAAAAAGGAACAGUGUUUUGUUUAACCCAUGGAGAUGCAAGUUAAAAUUUGGAUGAGUCUACGUAGCUUUUCUUUGUACUUCCCAUAAAGAUCAAAAUAAAGGUUCUUUGUUCAUCCUGAAAAUAUGCAUUGAACGGAAAUAUUGAUAGGACCCUACAUUCUAGUGAUGGCAAGAAAGGUAACUAGGAAGUGAGCACACAGACUGUUUCAGUAGUAAUGGCGGCUAGAAAAAGGCACCAAUUGGGCAGUAGGAGACAGAG